UUGAAAGGGAAACGAUUGAAGUCAGUCGUACCUGCGGGUAAUCAGCCUUUUGGGCAUGAUUCUGUGGAGUGUGAGGAGUUAAACGCCUUCAUGCCUGCAUAUUCGUGUACUUUGGGUGUACUUGCCUGUGUGGUUAGUUAACAUCAAUUUUGGUUAUCAUAAAAUGGCUGGAGGAAUGUAGCUUCGAUUUCGAUGGAAGUGUUAUAGCCUUCGGCAGAUGUGAUGAUCGGGAUUGAGGAUUGCAACGGAUACCCUUGGGGGCUACCUGUCUGGUCUCUGAUCGUUGCUUGGGUGCGGAAAGCGUGCUUACGGUUAUCAAAGUCGAUGGUCAAUAGGUUAGAAUGGGUUAAAUUCGUUAAGGAUGUGGACGUA
rnacentral:rRNA from 1 species